GGCGCCAGCGGUGACGUCACAACGGGCAAAACCCGCGCGCGACACUAACCCCAACCUGGGGCCCCACGAGUGACCAACGGUCUCCAAGAUCUUCAACUGUGCAAGGAAGACAGGCGCUUCUUGUUGGGGAUUCCAUACUAACAAGAACAGAAAGAACAUUCUGCAAAGAACAGAUGGACAACAGGAUGGUGUGCUUCCCUGAACCAAGCUACGAGUCAUCACUCUAAUGGCAUGUCUAUACUUACAGUGAAUCAACGCUAUGGUGAUCGAUCCACCAGGGCUCAAUUUAGUGGGUCAAGUGAAGACCUGCUAAAUUGACUGCAGAUCGCUCUUUCAUUGACUCUGGUACUCCACCAGAAAUAAGAAACCUACGGGGCUGAAAAUAUCAGGGAGUAUGGUCACAAAAGCAAGGCACUUCUGUGCACAUCCAAAAUUCCUGCUGAAUUCAGAACACAACAGGACUGGUUCCCAUAUGCUUAAAGAACUGCAGUAAAGUGGAACAAUUUUCAGCUUGUGUGAUUGGAGGAUAUCUGAUCCAUAUUA